CAGCGGACAAUUUCCGACCGUACCUGACGUCGUUCCAGGGCAACAGUUUUACGGACUACAUCAAUGCUGUCUUCGUAGACGGAUACACAAAGCCUCGGGAGUACAUAGUGACGGAAUGGCCUCUAGUGAGGACACAGGGAGAGUUCUGGUCGCUAGUGUACGACUACGAGUGCGCGGCGGUGGUGGUGCUAUGCGUACCACCAAAGAAUUCACAACAAUUCCCACCGUUCUGGCCCGAAGGCCGACAUUCUAAGAAAUACGGCCCCGUGUUCACGAUAGACCACGUCUCGCACAACCACUACACCAAU